rnacentral:lncRNA from 1 species
UUGUUCCAAAUCGCAGGUUUAUCUGAAGAAUUUAAUGAGAUCGGUAUAACAUUGAUUAUGUUGGUGUGAGAGGAAGGGGGAGCUCGGUGGUUGUUAGGGCCCGAUCGGCGGCUGGUCGUGGCCGUUCUCUAGGUCGCGGUCGCGGAAGAAGGGGAAGAUCUCGAUAAAACCGCUGCCUUCGCCGGAGAUGAAUCAUCCGGUAAAACCCGCCACCAUACCACCACCCCGACCCGACCCGGCUGGCGGAGAACCGGAAUCCGGCAGGCGGGCGGACGGUUGGGGGAGCUGUGAGCGACAGGGAAGGAGAGAGUUUGUGAGAGUUGGACUGCUGCAAUCAAAACAGGUUGUGAGGGUUCCUUGGCGGAAGGAAU